rnacentral:rRNA from 1 species
ACAUAUCGAGGAUUGACAGACAGUUACCAUGCCCUUUCGAAAGGAGUCAGGUUUUAAACCUAAUGGCUCUUUCAUGAUUAUAUGAUAGGUGGUGCAUGGCCGUUCUUAGUUCGUGGAGUGAUCUGUCUGCUUAAUUGCGUUUCAAAUUUUUAUUUGAGGACCAGGUUUUGGUUUGGGUAGUGGUCCUACGAUGACUGUGAACUGUCAUGUCUUCGGAUGUGCGACUAUCGGUCUAGGAUCGCAUCUCAGCCCCUGGGACUCUUUUGAACGCAA